GGUUAAAUGGCUGAGUUAGGCGGUAGAUUGUAAAUCUAUUAACGGGAUUAUUCUCUUUUAUCA
rnacentral:tRNA from 1 species